UGGGGAAUAUUGCACAAUGGGCGCAAGCCUGAUGCAGCCAUGCCGCGUGUAUGAAGAAGGCCUUCGGGUUGUAAAGUACUUUCAGUAGGGAGGAAGGUGGUUAAGCUAAUACCUUAAUCAUUUGACGUUACCUACAGAAGAAGCACCGGCUAACUCCGUGCCAGCAGCCGCGGUAAU
rnacentral:rRNA from 2 species